UACGAAGGGGGCUAGCGUUGCUCGGAAUCACUGGGCGUAAAGCGCACGUAGGCGGAUUGCUAAGUCAGGGUGAAAUCCUGGAGCUCAACUCCAGAACUGCCUUUGAUACUGGCGAUCUUGAGUCCGGGAGAGGUGAGUGGAACUGCGAGUGUAGAGGUGAAAAUUCGUAGAUAUUCGCAAGAACACCAGUGGCGAAGGCGGCUCACUGGCCCGGUACUGACGCUGAGGUGCGAAAGCGUGGGGAGCAAACAGG
rnacentral:rRNA from 1 species